AUUAGAGAGCCCCUCCCAGGGCCUUUCCCUCCCGCCUGGCCUGGCUCCUGCUCUGGACUCCUUGAUGGAUGUUGAAGCCCACAGGGCUGCAGACUCCUCCUCCUUCCUGGGCACAGGCCAGGUCACCCCACUCCGGCCUGCCCACUCCUGCAGUCAUCUUUGUCUUCAGACCAAAUGCACAAGUACUUUGUUAAAGGGCGCCAGGCUGUCCUUGGCAUGGUCCGGAAGGCAAAGUACCGGGAGCUGCUCCUAUCAGAGCUCCUGGGCCGGCGGGUGCCUGUCGUGGUGCGGCUUGGCCUCACCUACCAUGUGCACGACCUCAUUGGGGCCCAGCUAGUGGACUGGUGAGUCUUUCCCUGGCCUCUGGCAGAUUAUGGAGCAAUGACCCAAAGUGGGAUUUCCUCCCAGCUCAUGCUUAGUUUCCUAGUGAAGGCCAGUGGCUCUCAUUCUUCUCUGGAACCCGGGAGCACCCCUUCCCAAGUUCUAAGUUCUCCUCACAGCUUGAGCCUAGGCGUCUGGCUCCAGCCUUGUCUUUCUCCUGCACAGCAUCUCUACCACUUCAGGAACCCUCCUCCGCCUGCCAGAGACAUGAAGAUUCUGCUCAUCAUUGCUCAGCUCCUCAGAGUGGGCCGGGAGGGGACUAGAAGAGCUGCAUGAUGGUGGCUGAGACAGGGUCACCUUGGGAAGGCUUGGGAGCCAGGAUGAGUGUCGGGCUCUCGUGUGUGCAAAAGGUCAGAUGUGACUGCUGCUGUUUGCCUGGUUUCUGACCCAGUGGUGGGGUUUGAGCAAUGCUUCUCUGCCCUUCCAUGGAAAGUGGAACCAGAAAUGGUGCCAAGGCUGUGGCUGUUCCCUUUCGUGUAAAAUGGUGCUGUUAUUACUCUGUCUUGAAAUAGGAAGGUGGGAUUUCUGGGGAGGCUGGUGAAGGAGGGCAGGGUUCUUUUCUCUACGUGUCAUGUUAAAAUUGCCAAAUAAAGUACCUCUGCCUGUGA
rnacentral:lncRNA from 1 species